rnacentral:rRNA from 1 species
AGAGUUUGAUCAUGGCUCAGGAUGAACGCUGGCGGUCUGCUUAACACAUGCAAGUCGAACGCAUCUUUCGGGGUGAGUGGCGGACGGGUGAGUAACGCGUGAGAAUCUGCCUAGAGGUCGGGGACAACCAUUGGAAACGAUGGCUAAUACCGGAUAUGCCUUACGGGGUGAAAGAUUAAUCGCCUUUAGAAGAGCUCGCGUCUGAUUAGCUAGUUGGUAGGGUAAAAGCCUACCAAGGCAUCGAUCAGUAGCUGGUCUGAGAGGAUGACCAGCCACACUGGGACUGAGACACGGUCCAGACUCCUACGGGAGGCAGCAGUAGGGAAUUUUCCACAAUGGGGGCAACCCUGAUGGAGCAACGCCGCGUGCAGGAUGAAUGCCUUAGGGUUGUAAACUGCUUUUAUAUGUGACGAUUUUGACGGUAGCAUAUGAAUAAGGAUCGGCUAACUCCGUGCCAGCAGCCGCGGUCAUACGGAGGAUCCAAGCGUUAUCCGGAAUUACUGGGCGUAAAGAGUUGCGUAGGUGGCUAAGUAAGCAGGGUAUGAAAGCGUGUGGCUCAACCAUACAGCUAUACUCUGAACUGCUUUGGCUAGAGAGCGAGAGAGGUAGAUGGAAUUGCUAGUGUAGGAGUGAAAUCCGUAGAUAUUAGCAGGAACACCGAUGGCGUAGGCAGUCUACUGGCUCGUUUCUGACACUAAGGCACGAAAGCAUGGGGAGCAAACAGGAUUAGAUACCCCAGUAGUCC